AGUGAACGCUGGCGGUAGGCCUAACACAUGCAAGUCGAACGGCAGCACAGUAAGAGCUUGCUCUUACGGGUGGCGAGUGGCGGACGGGUGAGGAAUACAUCGGAAUCUACUUUUUCGUGGGGGAUAACGUAGGGAAACUUACGCUAAUACCGCAUACGACCUACGGGUGAAAGCAGGGGAUCUUAGGACCUUGCGCGAUUGAAUGAGCCGAUGUCGGAUUAGCUGGUUGGCGGGGUAAAGGCCCACCAAGGCGACGAUCCGUAGCUGGUCUGAGAGGAUGAUCAGCCACACUGGAACUGAGACACGGUCCAGACUCCUACGGGAGGCAGCAGUGGGGAAUAUUGGACAAUGGGCGCAAGCCUGAUCCAGCCAUACCGCGUGGGUGAAGAAGGCCUUCGGGUUGUAAAGCCCUUUUGUUGGGAAAGAAAAGCAGCAGGUUAAUACCCCGCUGUUCUGACGGUACCCAAAGAAUAAGCACCGGCUAACUUCGUG
rnacentral:rRNA from 1 species